UACAGAGGUGGCAAGCGUUGUUCGGAAUUACUGGGCGUAAAGGGCGCGUAGGCGGCCUGCUAAGUCAGACGUGAAAUCCCCCGGCUUAACCUGGGAACUGCGUCUGAUACUGGGAGGCUUGAGUAUGGGAGAGGGAUGUAGAAUUCCAGGUGUAGCGGUGAAAUGCGUAGAUAUCUGGAGGAAUACCGGUGGCGAAGGCGGCAUCCUGGACCAUAACUGACGCUGAGGCGCGAAAGCUAGGGGAGCAAACGGG
rnacentral:rRNA from 1 species